UUGCGCCUACGGGACGCAGCAGUGGGGAAUAUUGCGCAAUGGACGAAAGUCUGACGCAGCGACGCCGCGUGAGGGAUGAAGGUUUUCGGAUCGUAAACCUCUGUCAGGAGGGAAGAAAGCGCAUGGCGCCAAUCAGCCAUGCGUUGACGGUACCUCCAAAGGAAGCGCCGGCUAACUCCGUGCCAGCAGCCGCGGUAAUACGUAGGGAGCAAGCGUUAUCCGGAAUUAUUGGGUGUAAAGGGUGCGUAGACGGGAUAACAAGUUGGUUGUGAAACCCCUCGGCUCAACUGAGU
rnacentral:rRNA from 1 species